GAUGAACGCUGGCGGCGUGCUUAACACAUGCAAGUCGAACGGUGGAGGCGGAACUUGCUCUGCUGGAGCAGUGGCGAACGGGUGAGUAACACGUGAGCAAUCUGCCCCUGACUCUCGGAUAAGCGCUGGAAACGGCGUCUAAUACUGGAUACGAGCUGCGAAACCAUCUUCAGCAGCUGGAAAGAACUGCCGUCAGGGAUGAGCUCGCGGCCUAUCAGCUUGUUGGUGAGGUAACGGCUCACCAAGGCGUCGGCGGGUAGCCGGCCUGAGAGCGUGACCGGCCACCCUGGGCCUGCGAGACGGCCCAGACGGCUACGGGAGGCAGCAGUGGGGAAUCUUGCCCAAUGGGCGCAAGCCUGAUGAAGCAACGCCGCGUGUGGGACGACGGCCUUCGGGUUGUAAACCUCUUUUGGCAGGGAAGAAGCGAAAGUGACGGUACCUGCAGAAAAAGCGCCGGCUAACUACGUG
rnacentral:rRNA from 1 species